rnacentral:rRNA from 1 species
UGGGGAAUCUUGGACAAUGGGCGAAAGCUUGAUCCAGUAAUAUUUAUUGUGUGAAAGAGACGGCUAGCUUUGUAAAACACUUUUGUAAAUAUAAAUAAUGAUAACUAUUUAAGUAAUUUAGUCCCGGCUAAUUUCGUGCCAGCAGCCGCGGUAAUACGGGAGGGGCAAGCGUUAUUCAUCAUAAGCGGGCGUAAAGGGUGAGUAGACGGUUCUAAAUUGAUAAGCUAAAAAAACAAAUUACAUUUUGUUAGGGUUUAUCUAAUAAUAAAAUAGCGAUGGAUGGAGUGGACGGAAUUACUAAUGUAAAGGUAAAAUCUAAUAAUAUUAGUACGUAUGCCGACGGCGAAGGCAGUUUACUAGGAAAUCGGACGUUGAGGUGCUAAAGCGUGGGAAUCAAACA